rnacentral:lncRNA from 1 species
AUCAAACGCGUCCUGGCCUGUCCCGCCCCUCUCCCCAAGCGCGGGCCCGGCCAGCGGAAGCCCCUGCGCCCGCGCCAUGUCAAAGAAAAAAGGACUGAGUGCAGAAGAAAAGAGAACUCGCAUGAUGGAAAUAUUUUCUGAAACAAAAGAUGUAUUUCAAUUAAAAGACUUGGAGAAGAUUGCUCCCAAAGAGAAAGGCAUUACUGCUAUGUCAGUAAAAGAAGUCCUUCAAAGCUUAGUUGAUGAUGGUAUGGUUGACUGUGAGAGGAUCGGAACUUCUAAUUAUUAUUGGGCUUUUCCAAGUAAAGCUCUUCAUGCAAGGAAACAUAAGUUGGAGGUUCUGGAAUCUCAGCGUCUGCAUGAGGAAUAGAUUCCAUCUCAAGAAACCACUUUCUUUGCUCAUCUAUAAGAAGCAAUUCCUAGGACCAGGCUGGCCUUGAACUUUUGACUUAAGUGAUCUGCCCACCUCAGCCUCCCAAAGUGCUGGGAUUACAGGCGGGAGCCACCAUGCCUGGCCACAGAUAUUCUUAAUGGCAUCUAGAAUGGUGAAUCCUUCCCAGAAGGUUUUCAAUUUACUUUGCUCAGAUCCGUCAGAGGAGUCACUGUGGCAGUUAUAGCCUUACUGAAAGUUUUUCUUAAAUAAUAAAACUUGAAAGUUGAAAUUACUCCUUGAUCCACAGGCUGCAGAAUGGAUAUUGUGUUAUUAGGCAUGAAAACGUUAAUCUCCUUGUAUAUCUUCCUCAGAGUUCUUGGGUGACUAGGUACAUUGUCAUUGGGCAGUAAUAUUUUGAAAGAAAUCUUUUUUCUGAGCAGCAAGUCUCAACGGUUGGCUUGAAAUACCCAGUAAACCAUGCUGUAAAUCGAUAUGCUGUCAUCUGAGCUUUGUUAUUCCACUUAUAGGGCACAGGCAGAGUAGAUUUAGAAUAAUUCUUAAGGGCCCUAGGGUUUUCAUUGAGCAUUGGCUUCAACUAAAGUCACCAGCUGCAUUAGCCUCUAAUAAGAGUGUCAAGUGUCACCCUGGCCUUUGAAACUUUAAAGUCAGGCAUGGACUUCUCCUCUCUAGCUAUGAAAGUCCUAGAUGGCAUCUUUUUCCAACAGAAGGCUGUUUUGUCUACCCUGAAAAUUUUUUGUUUAGUGUAGCUUGGCUAGGUCUUCUGGAUAACUUGCUUCACUUCAUAGUACUUGAAACCUCGUCUUGCACUUUUACAUUAUGGAGAUGGCCUCUUUCCUUAAACUUUAUGAGUCAACCUCUUCUAGCUUCCAACUUUUUCUGUGCAGCUUCCUCACCUCUCAGCCUACAGAGAAUUGAAGAGAGUUGAGGUUUUGCUCUGGAUUAGGCUUUGGCUUAAGGGAACGUUGUGGUUGGCUCGAUCCUCUACCCAGACCACUAAAACUUUCUCUAUCUCAGCAAUACGGCUGUUUUGCUUUCUCAUCAUUUGCGUGUUUACUAGAUUAGCACUUUUAAUUUCUUUCAGGAACUUUUCCCUUGCACUCACAACUUGGCUCUUUGGCACAAGAGGCCUAGCUUUCCGCCUGUUUUGGCUUUUGACUGUAUCUUCCUAACUAAGCUUAAUCAUUUCUGGCUUUUGAUUGAAAAUGAGAGAUGUGUGACGUUUUUUCACUUGAAUGCUUAGAGGCCACUGUAGGGUUAUUAAUUGGCCUAAUUUCAAUAUUGUUUUGUCUCAAGGAAUAGGGAAGGCCAAGGGAGGGUGAGAGAUGGGGGAACGGUGAGUCACUGGAGCAGUCAGAAUACACACAGCAUAUAUUAAGUUCACUGUCUUAUGUGGGCAUGGUUUGUGACACCCCAAAACAAUUACAAUAGUAACAUCAAGAUCACAGAUCACCGUGACAGAUAUAAUAAUAAUGAAAAAGUUUAAUGCAAGAAUUACACAGAGACAAGAAGUGAGCACAUGCCAUUGGAAAAAUGACACCAAUAGACUUGCUUGACUCAAGGUAGCCACAAACUUAAUUUGUAGAAAACACGCUAUCUGAAGUGCAGUAAAGCAAAGCACAAUAAAAACGAGGUAUGCCUGUGCAAAGAGGGAUCGUUCAGGCCAUCUUAGAGGAUAUCAUAGGAUUUUUUUUAAAAAAAACUUUUUAUGUGUGUAUAUCUUCUUAGUUUUUUAAAAGCAGCUCUAAUGAGAAAUA